rnacentral:lncRNA from 1 species
GCAAAGGCCUCUGUGGCUGUUAGGAACAGGGAGGGCAGUAAUGCGGCUGGCCAGCUGCCACCAGGGUCAGUGGUGGCCAGCCUGGAUGAAGAAAGGAAGCUCGUGCUUGAGCUGCCUCUGGUAGGUCCUGAGAGAAAGGACUUGCCUCCCAGACCAAGUGUAAAUCAGCUCUCAAGCUUGCCCCAGCUGCUGCAAACUGCCUGGGAGGCUGAGGUCAUGCUCUGCAGUGAACAGAGACAUGGCAGCCAGCAAGGCCAGGCUGAGCAAGGCUUCUUGGUUUGACUGGGCCUGAUUCACAGUAGGUCUGGAAGUGCCAAGAAAACUUUGAGUGUGCGGAUGAACAUUCUGGUCAAGUGAGGCUGUGAACCACCAUAUCAGACCCUGAAAAGGAAUUCUGACCCCCUGGCUUCUGUAGAGUUCCUCCUGGGCCACAGCAAAUGGGACAGAUUUCAUGGACAAGCCAAGGGCUUGAUAAAUCUUUACUUGACACCAGUCUGAGAGAGACAACUCUGAUCUGGAUUGAAAGGAAUUUUCUGAUUUUCCAAGUUGGUAAAAUGGAAUAGGGGGGGAGUGUGGAGGGGCUUCUCAGAGGCAAAGCUGGGAUGAAAGCCCAGAUCAUCUCAGGCCAAAUGCUGGCCUUUUCCCACCAUUCCACAUCAUUUUCUAUGUUACAUCGCCCAUAUUUUGAUGAUGUUUGGAGUAAGAAAAAUGGGAUGGGGUUAUGCUUUGGGAGAUAGGGUAAUGGAGGCGGAUGCUAGAAAGCAAAAUUAGUUGCUCCUAUUUUUUUCCUCCAGUAUACAUCACAAAGCAAAAUAAUCUCUAAAGGACAGAACAAAUGUCUCAAGAUGGGUGAGACCUUUAAGGACUCUCACCCAAGGUGAGAACUCACCUAGCUCUCUAGGCCCAGGGCUGGACAUUGAAGAUGGUUGUUUGCAAAGGGACCUGAUUUUCUCCUCCCUAAUGGUUCUCACCCCAGACAUUACUUGCACAGUAUCUGUGUCCACAAGACUUGAGGGACUGUGGCCAGUCCAUGUGCUUUCCCCAUUGACAGCACAGGCAAUGAAUAACUGACCACAGACAGGUCUGCAGUGAUUUCUUUGAAUUUAUGGAGAAUGACAGGUAGGUAAACCUGAAGUCUGAAAACAGAGUCAUAUGAGCCCAUUUCAUCUAUCCCAGAGACCUGACUGGAACCCUUGUCUUGGGUGGCUCAAAGCUGAGAUGGGGCUAUCUGAGCUGCCAUGUUCUAAAUGCAGAGAAAAGGGGUUUCAAGGCAAGAUUCUCUUUUGUCACUCUCAGCCUUGCUUUUAGGAUUAGUUGUUCCAUUAAACAUUCAGCCUUAAUAAAA